rnacentral:misc_RNA from 1 species
CUCCAUCUCAGUCAGUCGACAAGCAAAAGCUCUCAGUUCCCUAUGAAAUCAUAGGUGACUGCCACAAACAAAAUCAUGCCCAACUUCAAAAUAAAAGGAGUUCAGAGUUAACAAGUUACCAGAAAUUAUCACAAAAUUAAGUAAUAAGGGAUCAAAAAGUUCCCUCCAACAUAAUCUAAGGCGUUAUAAGCUUAGAUAAGAGGCAAAUUUGAGGAUAAACCGAUAAAGCGAACAAAUCCCCCAAUAUGCUUCAAAAUUAAGAUAAAAAUGAAGUAAAAGACAUCAC